rnacentral:rRNA from 1 species
CCUACGGGCGGCAGCAGUGGGGAAUAUUGGACAAUGGGGGCAACCCUGAUCCAGCCAUGCCGCGUGUGUGAAGAAGGCCCUCGGGUUGUAAAGCACUUUCAGUGAGGAAGAACGCCUGGUGGUUAAUACCCAUCAGGAAAGACAUCACUCACAGAAGAAGCACCGGCUAACUCCGUGCCAGCAGCCGCGGUAAUACGGAGGGUGCGAGCGUUAAUCGGAAUUACUGGGCGUAAAGCGCGCGUAGGUGGCUUGAUAAGCCGGUUGUGAAAGCCCCGGGCUCAACCUGGGAACGGCAUCCGGAACUGUCAAGCUAGAGUGCAGGAGAGGAAGGUAGAAUUCCCGGUGUAGCGGUGAAAUGCGUAGAGAUCGGGAGGAAUACCAGUGGCGAAGGCGGCCUUCUGGACUGACACUGACACUGAGGUGCGAAAGCGUGGGUAGCAAACAGGAUUAGAUACCAUAGUC